UCACCAUUAACGAUCAGUGACUGUGACAGUCCAGACACACCAAGAUGCUUCCUCCGACAUAUCUGCUCUGUGUCUUCUAUCUUUACAUACAAGCUUCCAGAGGAGACAUAGUGAUGACUCAGACUCCGAAUUCUAUUUCUAAGUCACCGGGAGACUCAGUCACCAUCACAUGUACAUCUAGCCAAAGCCUCUUAUACAGUGCAGAUGGGAAGGAUUACUUACACUGGUACCAGCAGAGACCAGGACAACCUCCAACACUGAUUAUCACCUUGGCCAGAACUCGCGAGGCCGGGAUUCCCGAUCGGAUCAGCGGAUCUGGAUCUGGGUCUGAUUUCACUCUCACAAUCACCGGGGUAAAAGAAGAAGAUGCAGCCACUUAUUACUGUCAGCAGAGUAGGAGCUUACCUCUCACACAGUGA